rnacentral:rRNA from 1 species
UACGUAGGGUGCGAGCGUUGUCCGGAAUUACUGGGCGUAAAGAGCUCGUAGGUGGUUUGUCGCGUCGUUUGUGUAAGUCCACGGCUUAACUGUGGGAUGGCAGGCGAUACGGGCAUAACUUGAGUGCUGUAGGGGAGACUGGAAUUCCUGGUGUAGCGGUGAAAUGCGCAGAUAUCAGGAGGAACACCGAUGGCGAAGGCAGGUCUCCGGGCAGUAACGUGACGCUGAGGAGCGAAAGCAUGGGUAGCGAACAGGA